rnacentral:rRNA from 1 species
GACGAACGCUGGCGGCGUGCUUAACACAUGCAAGUCGAGCGGAAAGGCCCUUUCGGGGGUACUCGAGCGGCGAACGGGUGAGUAACACGUGAGUAAUCUGCCUCUGGCUUUGGGAUAGCUUCGGGAAACCGAAAUUAAUACCGGAUAUGACACGGUUUCGCAUGAGAUCCGUGUGGAAAGUUUUUCGGCCAGGGAUGUGCUCGCGGCCUAUCAGCUUGUUGGUGGGGUAAUGGCCUACCAAGGCUUCGACGGGUAGCCGGCCUGAGAGGGUGACCGGCCACACUGGGACUGAGACACGGCCCAGACUCCUACGGGAGGCAGCAGUGGGGAAUAUUGGACAAUGGGCGGAAGCCUGAUCCAGCAACGCCGCGUGAGGGAUGACGGCCUUCGGGUUGUAAACCUCUUUCACCACCGACGAAGCGCAAGUGACGGUAGGUGGGGAAGAAGCACCGGCCAACUACGUGCCAGCCGCCGCGGUAAGAC